UUUCCAUCUGCAGCCGAUCGGGAACAGCAACGAGUGUGUGGGAAACUGGUCUGGAUGGACAGAGGUCACCUCCUUUCCCUUCUCCAUUAGGAGUUCUCGAUGUACUCCAGAGCUACGUCGUAACAGAACCGGCUCUUCACGGCGUGAAACACGUCCACAACGUUCUGCCUCUUGAUCAUCUCGCACACGAUGGUGACUGCUGAGAAAACCCCACUGCGCCCCCCGCCAUUCCUACACCGAACACAGAGCGGAUCAGCUUCAGGAACGAGCGCUUGGAGGCAGGAACCUCUCGCAGCCCUGCCCACCCCAGGUAUUGGAAAUGACGGACCAUGAGGUAGCCCUCUUGUGGCUGAAACACCCACACACACGCACACUUAUAACUAAACACGUUUGCAAAUAAAUGGUUUCGAAAUGAAA